rnacentral:rRNA from 1 species
UACGAAGGGGGCUAGCGUUGCUCGGAAUCACUGGGCGUAAAGGGCGCGUAGGCGGCGUUUUAAGUCGGGGUGAAAGCCUGUGGCUCAACCACAGAAUGGCCUUCGAUACUGGGACGCUUGAGUAUGGUAGAGGUUGGUGGAACUGCGAGUGUAGAGGUGAAAUUCGUAGAUAUUCGCAAGAACACCGGUGGCGAAGGCGGCCAACUGGACCAUUACUGACGCUGAGGCGCGAAAGCGUGGGGAGCAAACAGGAUUAGAUACCCGGUGUAAGUCCGAUG